rnacentral:rRNA from 1 species
AGAGACAGCAGCAGCCGCGGUAAAACAGAGGGUGCGAGCGUUAAUCGGAUUUACUGGGCGUAAAGCGUGCGUAGGCGGCUUCUUAAGUCGGAUGUGAAAUCCCUGAGCUUAACUUAGGAAUUGCAUUCGAUACUGGGAAGCUAGAGUAUGGGAGAGGAUGGUAGAAUUCCAGGUGUAGCGGUGAAAUGCGUAGAGAUCUGGAGGAAUACCGAUGGCGAAGGCAGCCAUCUGGCCUAAUACUGACGCUGAGGUACGAAAGCAUGGGGAGCAAACAGGAUUAGAUACCCGCGUAGUCCCUGUCUCUUAUAC